GCGUAUAUUAAAGUUGUUGCAGUUAAAAAGCUCGUAGUUGAAUUUCGGGGUUCUACCGUUGGUCGGGCAAUUGUCUGUACUGGCGUGUGGAAUUUCUACCUUCUGGGGAACCAUCAUGUUAUUAAUUUAGCGUGGUGGGAAACCAGGACCUUUACCUUGAAAAAAUUAGAGUGUUCAAAGCAGGCUUACGUCUGAAUACAUUAGCAUGGAAUAAUAAAAUAGGACGGUGGUCCUGUUUUGUUGGUUUCUGAAUCMCCGUAAUGAUUAAUAGGGAUAGUUGGGGGCAUUAGUAUUCAAUUGUCAGAGGUGAAAUUCUUGGAUUUAUUGAAGACUAACUUCUGCGAAAGCAUUUGCCAAGGAUGUUUUCAUUAAUCAAGAACGAAAGUUAGGGGAUCGAAGACGAUCAGAUACCGUCGUAGUCUUAACCAUAAACUAUGCCGACUAGGGAUCGGACGA
rnacentral:rRNA from 1 species